rnacentral:rRNA from 1 species
CCUACGGGUGGCAGCAGUGGGGAAUAUUGGACAAUGGGGGGAACCCUGAUCCAGCCAUGCCGCGUGUGUGAAGAAGGCCCUCGGGUUGUAAAGCACUUUCAGUGAGGAAGAACGCCUGGUGGUUAAUACCCAUCAGGAAAGACAUCACUCACAGAAGAAGCACCGGCUAACUCCGCGCCAGCAGCCGCGGUAAUACGGAGGGUGCGAGCGUUAAUCGGAAUUACUGGGCGUAAAGCGCGCGUAGGUGGCUUGAUAAGCCGGUUGUGAAAGCCCCGGGCUCAACCUGGGAACGGCAUCCGGAACUGUCAAGCUAGAGUGCAGGAGAGGAAGGUAGAAUUCCCGGUGUAGCGGUGAAAUGCGUAGAGAUCGGGAGGAAUACCAGUGGCGAAGGCGGCCUUCUGGACUGACACUGACACUGAGGUGCGAAAGCGUGGGUAGCAAACAGGAUUAGAUACCCUGGUAGUC